rnacentral:rRNA from 1 species
AGACUCCUACGGGAGCAGCAGUGGGGAAUAUUGGACAAUGGGCGAAAGCCUGAUCCAGCCAUGCCGCGUGUGUGAAGAAGGCCCUCGGGUUGUAAAGCACUUUCAGUGAGGAAGAAUGCUUGUGGGUUAAUACCCUGCAAGAGAGACAUCACUCACAGAAGAAGCACCGGCUAACUCCGUGCCAGCAGCCGCGGUAAUACGGAGGGUGCGAGCGUUAAUCGGAAUUACUGGGCGUAAAGCGCAUGCAGGCGGCCUGUUAAGUCAGAUGUGAAAGCCCGGGGCUUAACCUCGGAAUUGCAUUUGAAACUGGCAGGCUAGAGUCUUGUAGAGGGGGUAGAAUUUCAGGUGUAGCGGUGAAAUGCGUAGAGAUCUGAAGGAAUACCAGUGGCGAAGGCGGCCCCCUGGACAAAGACUGACGCUCAGAUGCGAAAGCGUGGGGAGCAAACAGGAUUAGAUACCCUGGUAG